CCUACGGGAGGCAGCAGUGGGGAAUUUUCCGCAAUGGGCGAAAGCCUGACGGAGCAACGCCGCGUGAGGGAUGAAGGCCUCUGGGCUGUAAACCUCUUUUAUCAAGGAAGAAGAUCUGACGGUACUUGAUGAAUAAGCCACGGCUAAUUCCGUGCCAGCAGCCGCGGUAAUACGGGAGUGGCAAGCGUUAUCCGGAAUUAUUGGGCGUAAAGCGUCCGCAGGCGGUCUUGUAAGUCUGUCGUUAAAGCGUGGAGCUUAACUCCAUUUCGGCGGUGGAAACUACAAGACUAGAGUGUGGUAGGGGCAGAGGGAAUUCCCGGUGUAGCGGUGAAAUGCGUAGAUAUCGGGAAGAACACCAGUGGCGAAGGCGCUCUGCUGGGCCAUAACUGACGCUCAUGGACGAAAGCUAGGGGAACGAAAGGGAUUAGAUACCCCUGUAGUCCUAGCCGUAAACGAUGAACACUAGGUGUCGGGGGAAUCGACCCCCUCGGUGUCGUAGCUAACGCGUUAAGUGUUCCGCCUGGGGAGUACGCACGCAAGUGUGAAACUCAAAGGAAUUGACGG
rnacentral:rRNA from 1 species